rnacentral:misc_RNA from 1 species
ACCAGUGCCUAAUAAUAUGACAUAGAAUUAAUUAAAUACAAAGAUAGAAGAAACAGGCAUAUAUAAAUAUCUGCAGCUAAAUUGUGAUAGAUAACAUCUUAUGCGCAGGUUUUAAGUUUUUCAUACCCAAUCCUUCUUAUGUACAAAUGAAGGGUUGUAGAGACAUAUCCACUUAGCUUCUGGUGCAUACACCUCCCUCAUUGCCAUAACUUCAC